rnacentral:rRNA from 1 species
UAAUACGUAGGGGGCAAGCGUUGUCCGGAUUUACUGGGCGUAAAGAGCGCGUAGGCGGAACGUUAAGUCCGGCUUGAAAGACCCCGGCUCAACCGGGGAGUGGGGCUGGAAACUGGCGUUCUUGAGGGCGAUAGAGGAGGGCGGAAUUCCUGGUGUAGCGGUGAAAUGCGUAGAGAUCAGGAGGAACACCCGUGGCGAAGGCGGCCCUCUGGGUCGACCCUGACGCUGAGGCGCGAAAGCGUGGGGAGCGAACGGGAUUAGAUACCCCGGUAGUCCACGCCGUAAACGAUGGUCACUAGGUGUGUGCGGUAUCGACCCCGCACGUGCCGUCGCUAACGCAUUAAGUGACCCGCCUGGGGAGUACGGCCGCAAGGUUG